AUUGAACGCUGGCGGCAUGCUUUACACAUGCAAGUCGGACGAGUGGCGAACGGGUGAGUAACGCAUCGGAACGUACCGAGUAAUGGGGGAUAACUGUCCGAAAGGACAGCUAAUACCGCAUAAUAUUCGAGCUGCCCAGGUCGGAUUAGCUGGUUGGCGGGGUAAAGGCCCACCUAGGCGACGAUCGGUAGCGGGUCUGAGAGGAUGACCCGCCACAAUGGAACUGAGACACGGCCCAGACUCCUACGGGAGGCAGCAGUGGGGAAUUUUGGACAAUGGGCGCAAGCCUGAUCCAGCCAUGCCGCGUGUCUGAAGAAGGCCUUCGGGUUGUAAAGGACUUUUGGCAGGGAAGCGGUACCUGCAGAAUAAGCACCGGCUAACUACGUGCCAGCAGCCGCGGUAAUUC
rnacentral:rRNA from 1 species